rnacentral:rRNA from 1 species
UACAGAGGUCCCAAGCGUUGUUCGGAUUCACUGGGCGUAAAGGGUGCGUAGGCGGCCGGGUAAGUCUGAUGUGAAAUCUCACAGCUUAACUGUGAAACUGCAUUGGAUACUAUCCGGCUCGAGGAAUGGAGGGGAGACUGGAAUACUUGGUGUAGCAGUGAAAUGCGUAGAGAUGUGGAGGAACACCGAUGGCGAAGGCAGCCCCCUGGGCCGAUACUGACGCUCAUGCACGAAAGCGUGGGGAGCAAACAGG